rnacentral:rRNA from 1 species
CCUCCUUUCUUCCUCCUUUCUGCCUCUUGGUCCAUGGGCGCGCGCCUGCACCAGCCAAGUCGCGUGAGGGAAGACGGUCCUAUGGAUUGUAAACCUCUUUUGUCGGGGAGCAAAAGACGCCACGCGUGGCGUUCCGAGAGUACCCGAAGAAAAAGCAUCGGCUAACUCCGUGCCAGCAGCCGCGGUAAUACGGAGGAUGCGAGCGUUAUCCGGAUUUAUUGGGUUUAAAGGGUGCGCAGGCGGAAGAUCAAGUCAGCGGUAAAAUUGAGGGGCUCAACCUCUGCUAGCCGUUGAAACUGGUUGUCUUGAGUGAGCGAGAAGUAGGCGGAAUGCGUGGUGUAGCGGUGAAAUGCAUAGAUAUCACGCAGAACUCCGAUUGCGAAGGCAGCAUACCGGCGCUCAACUGACGCUCAUGCACGAAAGUGUGGGUAUCGAACAGGAUUAGAUACCCCUGUAGUC